UCUAAGAUAAAGUUAUAUAAGAGUGUACAUAUAUUUGAACAAAAAAAGAAUACAUACAAAAUCUUAAAUAAAUUAAUUCAUGAAUUAUAUAAUUUAAAUAAGUUACAUAAUAAUUCACAACAUUUUCAAAAUAUUAAUUCACAAAAUUUGUAUAUAAUCCAAAGAAAAAUCUGCGCUUUUAAAGCGCGGAUCAAAAUCUAGUUUAAUUGAUUAAGAUUUUGACGAGAAUAAUCUUAACCAAAAGAUCUCAACCUUGAGUUUUGCAGUGAGAAAAAAAAAGCACACAAACAGAAUCCGAUCAAAGGGAGUUUCGAGAGAGAGAGUAAACAGACUUCCUCUUGAUAUCAUGUUCAUCUUCUGCAUCCCUCUCCUCCAUCUCUGCUGUCUCGCUUUCGCUUUGGGUCCUUCCUCUGCUUUGAUUCCCAUCGCAACACUCACUAUGAUAUAUUUCCAUGGCACUUAUCUGAUAACGUUAAAGAAGGAAGCUUGGCCAACUCCAUCCCUCCUUUGAAGUUCCAUCUCCCUCUCUCUCUUCCUUUAUCUUUCAGCCUUUAAUUUCACAUCUUUUCUGAAAGUCGGAUUCUUUUGCUAGGUUAUGUGAAUUGUUUUUGUUCAUGGGUCUGGUCAAAGCUUUGAUUUUUUUUUGUUCAAAGCCAUGUACUUUCCGUUAAUUGAUCUGAAUGAUUCACGUAUUCAUUGGUUCAUACCUCAUGUUGUAUUGUUUAUGCAAGUCUCUAUGAAACAAUAUAAUUUCUUAUAUUGAUGGUUAUAAAAACAUAAGCUUCCAGUGUUCUAAAGCUGCUUCCUUUUUUUUGCAGGAAUCGAGCAAAGAGCGAUACAACGUUCCAGAUGCUCAUGUUCGAGCUCAAAAGUUGUGCCAAGGUUCAUUUUGUGUGUUCUAUGGGGUUUGCUUUGAAUAUCUUUUCAUAUUUUGUGAAGGAUUCUUUGAUUUAUCUGCUGCAAAGAAGUGAUGUUUUAGCCAAAAGUACUGUUAUUGCAUUUAAUUUAUUGGUUGGAACAUCUCUAAGGUAUCAGAAAUUCUUGAGGAACUGAAGAAAGAUCCAGAGAGGCAUGGUGGACCACCAGAUUGCAUUGCAAGUUAAAAAGCUCUUUCAUUGACAGACUAAAUUGCUUGUGUCGCGCUUGACUGUUCAUGGUAAAUGCGCAGAGAGUGAUACAACUGUUUCAGAUGCUCCUGCUCGAGCUGAAAAUUUUGCUGAAAGUGAUUUGGUCAUUCAUUUAGAAAGUGGAACCAUCAACAAAGCAUAACUAGAAGCAAGCCGAGACUUGGUGAUAGUUACUGCAGGCUCAUAUAGACAAAGAUGCAAACAAAGCUUAUGUGGGUGAUGUACGUUUCACAGCUAUAGCAAUUGGAAUCAUCAUAACUAGCAAAAAUAGUUGUGGAAGUGUCUCUGAAUUGAAGGUAAACCGGAUUUAUGACAACAAUGAUUUAGAAUCAUACCGGAAAUUUAAGUUUUGUGUGAGAAGUAAGUUCAAUGCAAUAACUUCAAGGCUUGGAUUACUUUGAAGUUAUCAGUGAUAUUCCGGUGCCCAAAAACCCAAUUAAUUUCUUAUUAUUGUUAUGUCAAAUUCUCCUAUAAUGGAAUAUGUUCUACAUCAACUAUUAGCAAAUUAAAUAAGAUGAUAAAAAGUUGGAAUUUGUAAAGAAAAAAAAAAGCCAAAGACAAUUCAGAUUUACUAACGAAAAUCUUUUAGGAUUAAAAUUCACUGAAACGAGUUUGUGUCAAAACACUAGAGAUGUCUUUCAAGGAAAAAAAAACACAUAGAUAAAUAA